AUCGGAUUGCAAAUUAUCUUGGAUUGGAUGAUGGGAUAAACUUGUCAUCCUUGGCGACAAGUAUUAAAAUCUGCGGUGAGUUAACUUACGCUACAUUGAGACCAAGUGCGAGUUUCGCGUUGCUGGUGUCAUCGUUGACAAAAUGGGACUUCCCUCAGAAAAACAUGUUUAAAACAAACACACUUGCCUCGUGUGAGGAUUGAACUCACGACCUUCAGAUUAUGAGACUGACGCGCUACCUACUGCGCUAACGAGGCUACAGCACUGCUACAAGUCAUGAUUGAAUCAUUGGCAAGAACAAAUUUUGAUUUGGAAAUUCAGUGCCUUGAGCGCACAUCAACAAAUCGUUUAUUUUUU